rnacentral:tRNA from 1 species
GGGUUGAUAGCUUAAGGGAAGAGCACUACAUUGAAGAUGUAGGUGUGAGAUGUCUCAAUUCA